rnacentral:tRNA from 1 species
AAAUAAGAAACAAAAUUUUUUGUAGUUAAUUUCGACCUAGCCUUUGAUUUAAAAUAAUCCUUAUUUU